rnacentral:tRNA from 1 species
GGGGCAGUGGCGCAGUUGGUAGCGCGUAUCCUUGGCGUGGAUAAGGUCAGGGGUUCGAAUCCCCUCUGCUCCA